GACGAACGCUGGCGGCGUGCUUAACACAUGCAAGUCGAACGGAAAGGCCCUGCUUUUGUGGGGUGCUCGAGUGGCGAACGGGUGAGUAACACGUGAGUAACCUGCCCUUGACUUUGGGAUAACUUCAGGAAACUGGGGCUAAUACCGGAUAGGAGCUCCUGCUGCAUGGUGGGGGUUGGAAAGUUUCGGCGGUUGGGGAUGGACUCGCGGCUUAUCAGCUUGUUGGUGGGGUAGUGGCUUACCAAGGCUUUGACGGGUAGCCGGCCUGAGAGGGUGACCGGCCACAUGGGGACUGAGAGACGGCCCAGACUCGUACGGGAGGCAGCAGUGGGGAAUAUUGCGGAAUGGGCGGAAGCCUGAUGCAGCAGCGCCGCGUGCGGGAUGACGGCCUUCGGGUGGUAAACCGCUUUCGCCUGCGACGAAGCGUGAGUGACGGUAAUGGGUAAAGAAGCACCGGCUAACUACGUG
rnacentral:rRNA from 1 species